rnacentral:rRNA from 1 species
AUUGAACGCUGGCGGCAGGCCUAACACAUGCAAGUCGAGCGGCAGCGGGAAAGUAGCUUGCUACUUUUGCCGGCGAGCGGCGGACGGGUGAGUAAUGCCUGGGAAAUUGCCCAGUCGAGGGGGAUAACAGUUGGAAACGACUGCUAAUACCGCAUACGCCCUACGGGGGAAAGCAGGGGACCUUCGGGCCUUGCGCGAUUGGAUAUGCCCAGGUGGGAUUAGCUAGUUGGUGAGGUAAUGGCUCACCAAGGCGACGAUCCCUAGCUGGUCUGAGAGCAUGAUCAGCCACACUGGAACUGGGACACGGUCCAGACUCCUACGGGAGGCAGCAGUGGGGAAUAUUGCACAAUGGGGGAAACCCUGAUGCAGCCAUGCCGCGUGUGUGAAGAAGGCCUUCGGGUUGUAAAGCACUUUCAGCGAGGAGGAAAGGUUGAUGCCUAAUACGUAUCAACUGUGACGUUACUCGCAGAGGAAGCACCGGCUAACUCCGUGCCAGCAGCCGCCGUAAGAC